rnacentral:piRNA from 1 species
GAAAUAAAAUUUAAUUAACUUUG